ACGUUAAGUUGGUAAGGCUCCUUCGAGAUAAGAAGGUUGAUAGGCCAGAUGUGUAAGCCGUGCGAGCGGUUCAGCUAACUGGUACUAAUAAGCCGAGGGCUUGAUAAC
rnacentral:rRNA from 1 species